CGUAGCGUAGCCACUGGCGUAAGCCUCAACGAGCAGCAAUCGACCGCUUAUCAGCCCUUGCCAAAGAGUAAUUUGUGAUACCUGUCCGCCUUGUGUAUUGGCUUGUUUAGAGCGCAACGCGCUUAAGUGGUGUUAAUUUUUCAGUAAUUAUUAUCGUAUUUAUUGCCGAACGAAAGUGAAGUGCGAUCGAACCCUCCGCUUCCUCCGCCCCCACCGCUCCGUCCAGUGCCGUGUGUCCGUCCGUGCGAAUGGCAAUAAAUGAAUUACAGAGCCAUAAAGUUGUCUGAUCAGCGUGGUCGGGUUGCGGUCGUCUCGGCCAACUGCAGCUGAUAAUGGACAUGGGAAGUCUACGUGUGUGUGCAUGCGUGUGUGUGUAUGUGUGCCUGCGAGUGUGAUUUACAAAUCAUUAGCACACAAUCAACAACACAUUAGACAAAUUGCUAAAUUAGCUGCUGUUUUUGCAGCAGACAAAAAAAAGGCAACAAAACUUUGUUUUAUUCGGGAGGGAGACCCAAAUCCCGUGGUGAGACUCAGAUAGGGGGAAAGAGAGCAAGAGCAACAGCAACAGCAAGCGAGCGAGAGAGGUGGUACGGUACGGUACUCGUAAUUUUAGCUACUCUACUCUCUCACCCGCAGACCCCAGAUAAGUCGUCCCCAGCCAUUGAGUGAUUCAAUUGUUAUUGGGGCGGCUUUGUUGUUAUUGCUUUUCUGUACCUCUGGCGGAUGGUUUUCAGUGGUUUGACCUGAUAAUACCCAUAGAUCCGACUGGAAUCUGAUUAAGGAUUGUGGAUUGUGGAUAGCUGCCGGGGAUAGACGAAAAUGCUCAGCCCCUCACGACUACGAAUGCAAUCAUGAAUUCCUACUUUGAUUCGGCCAUCGAAUACAAUCGAACGAACACCAUUAACCUGGCGCACUCCAACGAUCAAUCGCAGAGCUUCUCCAAUGAAAAGAACUGGGAAUGGUCGUAUCUGGUGCGCAAAUGCCGCAACCUGGAGCUGGAGGAGUCGUACGACCUGUACAUGCGUCGCCUGCGGGUGGGCUACCUCUCGCUGUUCAUCUUCAUCCAGCUGCAGGUGACCAUCACGCACACCCUGCUGCUGCUGACGACGCCGGACAUAACCUUCGUGUACGUGGACAUGGCCGCCUACAUAGCUUCCGGCGUGGUCAUCUGGCUAAUCCUCUCGGUUAACUUCCGCAGCGAGCUGGUCAGCAAGCACGGCUGGGUGGUGUACGUCUCCUCCUGGCUGGCCGUUUGCGUGAUGGUGCUGAUGGACAUCGGCCUGAAUGUGUACCAUGCUACCAGCCACAACUUCAUCCUGAAUCCCAUCUACGACGCCUACACCCUGUACGCCAUCUACAUGUUCAUGCCGGUGCCGUAUCUGCUGCAGCCGUUCGUGCUCGGAUCCGCCGUCACCCUGUGCUACAUCAUCAACUACAUAUUCGUGAUCACCUCCAAGGAGGACAACCAGAUGCAUAGCAUUCUGAACGAAGCCAUUUACCUGAGUUGCGUCAACCUGCUGGGCAUCUUCUUCCGCCUCAUGCGGGACAUCGCGUUGCGCACCACCUUCCUCGAUCGGCGGCAGUACGUGGAGGAGAAUCUCCUCUUGCGCUACGCUCGCGACCAAGAACGGAGCCUACUGCUCAGCAUCCUGCCUAACCAGAUCGCCGAUCGUCUGCAGGAGGAUGUCAAGAACCGCAUCGAACGCUCCAAGCAGCAGCACCAGCAGCGAUCUCACGUAGAUACGCAGCGGACUACUGACAGUCAGAACCUCAAGCGAUGGCGACAGCCGGAUCACGGAACCCUCUUCAUUGAGCCCCAUGAAGACGUCACUGUUCUGUAUGCGGAUGUGGUCAACUACACCCACCUGACCACCACUCUGGAUGUGAAGAAGCUGGUAGAGGCGCUGCACGACCUCUUCGUGCGCUUCGACAUUGCCAGCGAGGAGUACAAUGUGCUGAGGAUCAAGUUCCUGGGGGACUGCUACUACUGCGUGGCAGGGCUGGUCAGUCCCAAUGCGGAUCAUGCCAAGUGCUGUGUGGACCUGGGCCUGCGCAUGAUCAAGGAUAUACGCGACGUCAGAGAAAAGCGGCACCUCAACAUCGACAUGCGCAUCGGCGUGCACUCUGGCGACGUGCUGUCGGGGGUGAUUGGAGCCGCAAAAUGGCAGUUCGACAUUUGGUCCAAGGACGUGGACAUUGCCAACAGAUUGGAGGCUACUGGGGCCACGGGUCGCGUGCAUGUCAGUCAGAAGACGCUGUCUCUGCUGGACGGCGAGUAUUUCUUCGAGGACGGAACGGAGAAGGCUCGCGAGGAUCCCGUGCUGCAGAAGCAUGGCAUUCGCUCCUUCCUGAUCAAGUCACUGCGCGCCCCCAUGCACGAUCCGAGACGCGUGCAGCGCGAGCGCCAGGCCAAGAAGCUGAGCGAGGCCAACAAGUCGAACUUCAUGCACAACUCCACCCUGCACCAGUACAACCAGGUGCGCAACCAGGCCAAGCUGGAGAUGUGUCGCGAGCUGGACAAGAUGCCAAUCGGUCGGAUAAAGCUCACCAAAGUGUUUCGGCGCAGCACUCGUCUCACCCAGGACGAGAUUGAGGAGGAGACCUUCCGCCGCAACAUCAGCUCGUUCUGUCUGUUCUUUCGCACCCGCAAUUGGGAGAUGCAGUACAUGCGGGAGCCGGAUGUGAUGCUCAAGUACAGCAUUGCUCUCGCCUGGGUGAUUUACAUGGGACUCCUGACCAUCCAACUGUUGAGCAAGGAUGCGAGAUACCAUUACUGGUACAUCGAUGGCACUACCAUUAUCCUGCUCACCAUGCUGCUGAUCGUCUCCUGGUACAAGAAGCUCUGGAUAAUGUACAUGUCCGACGCGGAGGUGUCCGUCCCCACGAGUCGCCUCAGUGGCUGCCUCUUCAACAUGUCGGAUGUGAUGCAGCGCAACUUAUUCCUCCGCAUCCUUAUCUACUUCCUCAUCAUUUUAUCCUACUGCGCUGUGGCCACCAUGCAAGUGCUGGGCUGCAGCAAAGACGAGGACUACGAGGAUAGCGAUCCCACCGUAGAAGAUCGGCUUUUCUGCUUUCAUCCCUGGAUCCUCACCAACUGCAUGACACUGGUUAUUGGCAUGUCCUUUCUGUUCACACGGAUUCCAUUCAUCAUCAAGGUCUGCCUCUCCACCAUCAUCACGAUAGUUUAUGCAGCGCUGGUGAUAUUUGAGUUCAACCACAUCUACGCGAACAGCCCGUCCACCAAUGUCAACUUCAACGCCAAGUACUCGCACAUUCUGCUAAUGAUCAUCACGCUGGGCAUCUUCCACUUGAUGGAGCGACAAACGGAGUUCAUAGCGAAGGUGGACUACAACUGGAAGCGACAGCUGAUGAAGAAGCAGGAGGAUGCCCUGAUCACCAACGACACUAUCAAAGUGCUGCUAACCAACAUAUUGCCGUCGCACGUGGGGCUUCCAUUCCAGCUGACUUCUAUCUGUCGACGCAGCUGCAGAACCAGCUCUACUACGAGGAGUACGAUAACGUGGCCGUGAUGUUUGCCUCCAUCAAGAACUUUGACACGGACAAGAUAGGACUACGGGUACUGAACGAGAUCAUCUGCGACUUUGAUGAUGUGCUAAACAAAUAUGCGCAGUGCCUGCGCGUGGAGAAGAUCAAGGUGGCCAACUGGACAUACAUGGCUGCCUGUGGCUUGGACGUGUCCCGCUCCGAACAGGUUAACGCCCCCCAGAUGAAGUUCCGCAACGCCUCGUUGAUGCCCAAUGGUCGUCGCAGUCGCUACGACGGGGGGCGCACCUCCGACUCCGACGGAAUCCACCGCGUCCCCUACGGCAAUGGCAGUAAUAUUGCCCUGGACCUGGACCUGGAACGGGGGCAGUACGAGGGCAAUGUGAUAACUAGUGCCCCGCGCACUAGCAACGUUGGACAGCAAGCCGGCAACAGUAGCAAUGAGGUGGUCCUGGUAAUGGCACGGUUUGCCCUGGAUCUGAUGCGGGCCAUGCGCCGCUUCAAUGCCGAAAACAUGCAGACAGAGUACGAGGGCAGCACCGACUACGGCAUGCUGAGGAUCGGCAUCUCACACGGCCGGGCUAUGGCCGGGGUGGUGGGAAUAUCGAAACCACACUACGACAUAUGGGGCGACCCGGUCAACAUGGCCUCGCGCAUGGACUCCACGGGGGUGCCUGGCCAGAUCCAGGUGACCGAGAACACGGCCAUCAAGCUGCGGGGGUUCAACAUACAGUGCAACUAUCGGGGCAUGACUUUCGUCAAGGGGCGUGGCAACAUUCCUACCUACAUAAUAGGCACCGACAGCGAAUACGAGUUCCUGCCCCAUCGUCCAUCGAGCCCCAACACAAAGAAGACUAGCUGAAUUUAAUAGAUAUUCGAUUUUAAGCUUCCAUGUAUAUAAAUACUUACAUUAUAAUACCCAAAAUAAACUAAAUAAAUUUGACAAGGACUCCAUUAAAA
rnacentral:misc_RNA from 1 species